AUUGGUUUGCCAAAUCUGAUCGUUUGUACCCUUCCUUAGAUUCUCGUAACCAAUCCUGAAAUUUCAUUCAAUAUUAUAUGUUUUACUAAUUUAAUUUUUAGUUGUUUUAGUCUUUUAGAAAGGUGUAACAAGAAUGUACAAUGUUUUUUUUCUUUUUUUUCUUUUUUCGUAAUAAAAAGUACUAUGUUUUAUAUAUAACUAAAAAAAAAUUAUGAAAACUAAAAUAAUUGAAAAGAUUCACUAAUUUUAAAAGUAUAAAUAUUUUGCACAGCUUUCCUGAUGCUUUUUCGAAAAAGGACUAUAUAUUCUUUUCCUGUUUUUCAGCUUUAUAUACCUUUUUUCUGUUAAAAAAGAAAUAAAAAAAAUAAAAAAUAAAGCUGGAUAACAGGGAAAAGUAUCAGGAUGGUUUUUGUUUA